UUGGCGGUCGGGUCGAUCUCGCGGGUGACCACCAGGUAUUCCCGCAGCGCGAUCGCAUGCAGGUGCUC
rfam:Mycobacterium triviale strain HMC_M3 PROKKA_contig000013, whole genome shotgun sequence.